CUUUGCCUGCUAUCUCUUACCCAUGUCUUUUGAGUACUUACGUUUCCUCGGUGGGUUCGCCCGCCGAUUGGACAAUUUAAACCCUUUGCAGUUGCAAUCAGCGUCUGAAAAAAAUUAAUAAUUACAACUUUCAACAACGGAUCUCUUGGUUCUGGCAUCGAUGAAGAACGCAGCGAAAUGCGAUAAGUAGUGUGAAUUGCAGAAUUCAGUGAAUCAUCGAAUCUUUGAACGCACAUUGCGCCCCUUGGUAUUCCAUGGGGCGUGCCUGUUCGAGCGUCAUUUGUACCUUCAAGCUCUGCUUGGUGUUGGGUGUUUGUCUCGCCUUUGCGUGUAGACUCGCCUCAAAACAAUUGGCAGCCGGCGUAUUGAUUUCGGAGCGCAGUACAUCUCGCGCUUUGCACUCAUAACGACGACGUCCAAAAGUACAUUUUUACACUCUUGACCUCGGAUCAGGUAGGGAUACCCGCUGAACUUAAGCAUAUCAAUAAGCGGAGGAAAAGAAACCAACAGGGAUUGCCCUAGUAACGGCGAGUGAAGCGGCAACAGCUCAAAUUUGAAAUCUGGCGUCUUUGGCGUCCGAGUUGUAAUUUGCAGAGGGCGCUUUGGCAUUGGCAGCGGUCCAAGUUCCUUGGAACAGGACGUCACAGAGGGUGAGAAUCCCGUACGUGGUCGCUAGCCUUUACCGUGUAAAGCCCCUUCGACGAGUCGAGUUGUUUGGGAAUGCAGCUCUAAAUGGGAGGUAAAUUUCUUCUAAAGCUAAAUACUGGCCAGAGACCGAUAGCGCACAAGUAGAGUGAUCGAAAGAUGAA
rnacentral:rRNA from 1 species